rnacentral:rRNA from 1 species
UACUGCAUUUUUUCUUACACAUGUGUUUUUCUUUUUUUGAAAACUUUGCUUUGGUAGGCUACUGUAUGGGGCCUGCCAGAGAUUAAACUCAACCAAAUUUUAUUUAAUGUCAACCGAUUAUUUAAUAGUCAAAACUUUCAACAACGGAUCUCUUGGUUCUCGCAUCGAUGAAGAACGCAGCGAAAUGCGAUAAGUAAUAUGAAUUGCAGAUAUUCGUGAAUCAUCGAAUCUUUGAACGCACAUUGCGCCCUUUGGUAUUCCAAAGGGCAUGCCUGUUUGAGCGUCAUUUCUCCCUCAAACCCUCGGGUUUGGUGUUGAGCGAUACGCUGGGUUUGCUUGAAAGAAAGGCGGAGUAUAAACUAAUGGAUAGGUUUUUUCCACUCAUUGGUACAAACUCCAAAACUUCUUCCAAAUUCGACCUCAAAUCAGGUAGGACUACCCGCUGAACUUAAGCAUAUCAAUAAGCGGAGG